AUGGAUCCAGAGGGAAACCAACCAGAGAAAGGGGUCCUUAGAGCAUUGUUUCCAGUAUUUUGGACAUGCAUUCACAAUAAGAAAGGUGGGAGCUUGACACCUGCAUAAAACCUAAGAAUUUGGCCUAUGGGUACUGCCAUGACUAAUGAAGCAACUCCUGAUUCCACAAGAUACCCAAUUAGGAAAAAAAGUCUCAGCAGGCCAGGAAAAACAGUUAGAGGAGAGGGCAAAUGAUCUUUAAGAGCAGUUAGCAGUAUAGGAGAGAGUAGAGGGAUAGAAGAGGAAGUCAUUCCUAAGAUUAAGUCAAUCCACUUCCCUUACCAUGCAUUUUGGCAAGCACUGUCAGAAGCCAUGGAAAGAGGAUAAACCAUGAAAAAUGCUCGACUCCAUAAUACUAAGAAAAAGCAUGGA